GGCAGAGUAGAUAGGAGGUGACCCCGAGCAAACUUUGGAACUGAUAGGGGCGAAGUUCCGUCCUGCAUCAGCAGCUUAUGUUCACCUCCUAUUUAAAGAGUUUCAAGUGAUACAAGAAAACAAAAAAUAAUGUUGAAAUAGGCUCUUGUACACAACUACUCUUCUACAGUCUGCCAUCACAGCUGAUUUCACUUGUGGCUCACGGGACCCCCUUCAGCCUCGUGACGUCAUGCAAUGCCUAGCAUUGGUGCUGCAUUCACGUGCUCCUCGGACGUAUGUUCAUGUAGGAAUGUGGGACCAACAUGGAAGACAACAAGCUGUUUGCCGUUUUAUCACUAAGAACGUUAAAACAGUUUUAAACGAUACACUGACUGCCUUUUUAAAACGUUUAUCAACCUUAUGUUUACUUUUGCACAGUUAAGUUAGCCCACUUUCAUCAGGAUCACUCUUAAUAACUGAAAACAUCUGUUCAUAUAGGCAGGGCCUUAAAACUGGCGUUGAAGAAGAUGCAAUUUACAAAGUAUGGUUAAAAAUAAAAGGUCUUGGUUCAGGACCCCACUGAUGAAAACACAACAACGAAAGACACUUAAAUGUUCCUUGAAUGCAAAAUGACCUCUUUAAUUUUGCAAAUUAACAGGACAGCCAUUUCCAUUAAUUUAAAAUUGACCAAGUACAGACAAUUGCUCUACCAUGACAAAAGCCUAUAUGUGAUUUUCUGGUGUUAGUGUACAAAAAAAAC